rnacentral:rRNA from 1 species
AUUGAACGCUGGCGGCAGGCUUAACACAUGCAAGUCUAGCGAGCGGCGGACGGGUGAGUAAUGUCUGGGAAACUGCCUGAUGGAGGGGGAUAACUACUGGAAACGGUAGCUAAUCCCGCAUACCAUCAGAUGUGCCCAGAUGGGAUUAUCUAGUUGGUGGGGUAAUGGCUCACCUAGGCGACGAUCCCUAGCUGGUCUGAGAGGAUGACCAGCCAGACUGGAACUGAGAAACGGUCCAGAAGCCUACGGGAGGCAGCAGUGGGGAAUAUUGCACAAUGGGAGCAAGCCUGAUGCAGCCAUGCCGCGAGUGUGAAGAAGGAAAUCGGGUUGUAAAGCACUUUCAGCGAGGAGGCGUUACUCGCAGAAGAAGCACCGGCUAACUCCGUGCCAGCAGCCGCGGUAAUUC